rnacentral:rRNA from 1 species
CCUACGGGAGGCAGCAGUGAGGAAUAUUGGUCAAUGGACGCAAGUCUGAACCAGCCAUGCCGCGUGCAGGAAGACGGCUCUAUGAGUUGUAAACUGCUUUUGUACGAGGGUAAACGCAGAUACGCGUAUCUGUCUGAAAGUAUCGUACGAAUAAGGAUCGGCUAACUCCGUGCCAGCAGCCGCGGUAAUACGGAGGAUUCAAGCGUUAUCCGGAUUUAUUGGGUUUAAAGGGUGCGUAGGCGGACUGUUAAGUCAGAGGGAAAAGCCCGGGGCUCAACCCCGGCGAGCCGUUGAAACGUGCUGUCGUGAGAUGGCGAGAGGUAUGCGGAAUGCGCAGUGUAGCGGUGAAAUGCUUAGAUAUUGCGCAGAACUCCGAUUGCGAAGGCAGCAUACCGGCGGCGAUCUGACGCUGAGGCACGAAAGCGUGGGUAUCGAACAGGAUUAGAUACCCGGGUAGUC